GGGAUAACUAGUCGAAAGAUUAGCUAAUACCGCAUACGACCUGAGGGUGAAAGUGGGGGACCGCAAGGCCUCAUGCUAUAGGAGCGGCCGAUGUCUGAUUAGCUAGUUGGUGAGGUAAAGGCUCACCAAGGCGACGAUCAGUAGCUGGUCUGAGAGGACGAUCAGCCACACUGGGACUGAGACACGGCCCAGACUCCUACGGGAGGCAGCAGUGGGGAAUUUUGGACAAUGGGCGAAAGCCUGAUCCAGCAAUGCCGCGUGUGUGAAGAAGGCCUUCGGGUUGUAAAGCACUUUUGUCCGGAAAGAAAUGGCUCUGGUUAAUACCUGGGGUCGAUGACGGUACCGGAAGAAUAAGGACCGGCUAACUACGUGCCAGCAGCCGCGGUAAUACGUAGGGUCCAAGCGUUAAUCGGAAUUACUGGGCGUAAAGCGUGCGCAGGCGGUUGUGCAAGACCGAUGUGAAAUCCCCGAGCUUAACUUGGGAAUUGCAUUGGUGACUGCACGGCUAGAGUGUGUCAGAGGGGGGUAGAAUUCCACGUGUAGCAGUGAAAUGCGUAGAGAUGUGGAGGAAUACCGAUGGCGAAGGCAGCCCCCUGGGAUAACACUGACGCUCAUGCACGAAAGCGUG
rnacentral:rRNA from 1 species